rnacentral:ncRNA from 1 species
UAAAUUCUGCCACCGGGCAGAGAAUGUUGAAAUAAACAUUCGUUUACACAUCGUUAGGUCUUUGAAGAUGUGCAGGCGAAUGUUUUUUGUUU